AAUCGACCGUUGAUGGAGCACAGUAGCUGAAAUAACAGGUGUACAGAGAGGAAAUGCCGUGGCUGUAAGCAUUUCUACAUACUGAUUCAGUGAAUGAACACUCCGGAGGAUUUCUGCUGAACGAAUGUAUUUCCAAGGCAGGAACGUACCAGGCGUUAACUGGCUAAGUGGAGGCAGACUAUUGCCUCAAUUAGGGUGGCACCACGGGAAUCCAAGCUCUCGUCCCUUGU
rnacentral:ncRNA from 1 species